AUGCUGAAGGUCGCUUGCUUACCAAGCCACCCACUUGAUAAGCUAGUCGCCAGAAAGAAGCGGCGAGGACGCGAAGCUUCCCUCCCCCCUGUAGUCGAAGUACUCGGCGCUACUUUGAUUCAAAAGGUAACCGACGGUUCCCGACUUUAUCCGGUUUCCGCAACCGUAAUCAUUUGUCACUCCAUCCAUAAACCUUUUUUUCAAUAG